rnacentral:rRNA from 1 species
GAUGAACGCUGGCGGCGUGCCUAAUACAUGCAAGUCGAGCGAACAGACGAGGAGCUUGCUCCUCUGACGUUAGCGGCGGACGGGUGAGUAACACGUGGAUAACCUACCUAUAAGACUGGGAUAACUUCGGGAAACCGGAGCUAAUACCGGAUAAUAUAUUGAACCGCAUGGUUCAAUAGUGAAAGACGGUUUUGCUGUCACUUAUAGAUGGAUCCGCGCCGCAUUAGCUAGUUGGUAAGGUAACGGCUUACCAAGGCGACGAUGCGUAGCCGACCUGAGAGAGUGAUCGGCGACACUGGAGCUGAGACACGGUCCAGACUCCUGCGGGAGGCAGCAGUAGGGAAUCUGCCGCAAUGGGCGAAAGCCUGACGGAGCAACGCCGCGUGAGUGGUGAAGGUCUUCGGAUCGUAAAGCUCUGUUAUUAGGGAAGAACAAAUGUGUAAGUAACUAUGCACUUCUUGACGGUACCUAAUCAGAAAGCCACGGCUAACUACGUG